GCUGGGUGUGGUGGCUCACACCUGUAAUCCCAGCACUUGGGAGGCCGAGGUGGGUGGAUCACCUGAGGUCAGGAGUUCAAGACCAGUCUGACCAACGUGGUGAAACCCCAUCUCUA
rnacentral:SRP_RNA from 1 species